UACGGAGGGGGCUAGCGUUGUUCGGAAUUACUGGGCGUAAAGGGCUCGUAGGCGGUUUGUCGCGUCGGGAGUGAAAACACCGGGCUUAACUCGGUGCUUGCUUUCGAUACGGGCAGACUAGAGGUAUGCAGGGGAGAACGGAAUUCCUGGUGUAGCGGUGAAAUGCGCAGAUAUCAGGAGGAACACCGGUGGCGAAGGCGGUUCUCUGGGCAUGACCUGACGCUGAGGAGCGAAAGUGUGGGGAGCGAACAGG
rnacentral:rRNA from 1 species